ACGGGAGGCAGCAGUGGGGAAUAUUGCACAAUGGGGGAAACCCUGAUGCAGCGACGCCGCGUGAGUGAAGAAGUAUUUCGGUAUGUAAAGCUCUAUCAGCAGGGAAGAUAAUGACGGUACCUGACUAAGAAGCACCGGCUAAAUACGUGCCAGCAGCCGCGGUAAUACGUAUGGUGCAAGCGUUAUCCGGAUUUACUGGGUGUAAAGGGAGCGUAGACGGCUGUGCAAGUCUGAAGUGAAAGCCCCGGGCUCAACUCGGGAACUGCUUUGGAAACUGCGUGGCUUGAGUCGCCGAGGCGGAGCCGGAAUUCCAGGUGUAGGGGUGAAAUCUGUAGAUAUCUGGAAGAACACCGGUGGCGAAGGCAGGCUUCGAGCGGACGACUGACGCUGAGGUGCGAAGGUGCGGGGAGCGAACAGGAUUAGAUACCCUGGUA
rnacentral:rRNA from 1 species